UACGAAGGGGGCUAGCGUUGUCCGGAAUCACUGGGCGUAAAGGGCGCGUAGGCGGCCUGAUAAGUAGGGGGUGAAAUCUUGCGGCUUAACCGCAAGGCUGCCUUCUAAACUGGCAGGCUUGAGUACGAAAGAGGGUCGCGGAAUUCCCGGUGUAGAGGUGAAAUUCGUAGAUAUCGGGAGGAACACCAGUGGCGAAGGCGGCCGCCUGGAUGGAUACUGACGCUGAGACGCGAAAGCGUGGGGAGCAAACAGG
rnacentral:rRNA from 1 species